UAUCCAUUUUGUUUGGCACAAUGCAUUUGUUGUUCUUCGAAACAUCAGGUUUUUAAUCUGUAGUACGUCUGCCUUACCCUUUCAGGAAUGAAGAGCUGGAGGCCCAGGUCUUCCAGUCCUCUGUACAGAUAGGCUGCCACCUCCUUGUGUUUCUUCCAGGACUCCUCCAGCCCCUAGAGGAAGUAGAGGAGUGACGCGGUUCGUGGCGAUAAGACGGAUGAGGGAAGGUUCUUGCAGUUGGUGUUGUGACAAUUUAGGACUCGUAUCUGGAAACAUACGUGCAGGGGGCAAUGCAGAAUGUGCCUCACUUUCUGCAGAUGUCUCCAAUGCCAUCUACUGGGUGACAGAGGCCAGCAGAGGACUCUCCGUGUGUGAGGAAAAACAGGACAGGCUUGUGUUUUUCCAUGGCCUAAACAAGAGAAUAAAGUUUAAUUAUUUAUUGUUUAGUAUGCCUUCUAGUUACUGUUUACAUUUGAUCGUUUCUUAGUUAUGUAUUGAGUCUGACAGUUGAGUUCGCAGACUGUAGAUAAAGUACAUGAAGUUCUGUUAAGGACAUUGAGCCUACCUUUUCAAUUUCCUUAUUCGUGAAAUAUCCCCCUGGGGUUUUCACCAUUCUAUGUACAUUGGCACCUGAAGAUAAAAACAUUGAUGAUUUAAUACAGGCAGACAGACAGACAGACAGAUAUACAGAUAUACAGAUAGAUAGACGGACAGUUAGAUAGAUAGGAAGAUAGAUGUACCCAUUCUCUCAGCAAUUUCUGCAACGCGUUCUCCCCAGAUUCCAUUGACGCCGAUGAGCACGCUCUCUCCGGGCUCCACCGUAUUGAACACCGCACACUCCAUAGCCGCGUGCCCCGAGCCGCUCAUCGCUAUCGUCACGUUGUUCUCCGUCUGAAAGGCGUACUGGAUCCCUCUCUUGAUGUCAUUCAUGACCUAACACAAACAGUGAAAACGUCAAACAACCUCUCCAAAUCAGAUGUGGUCGCCAAUUAUUGUGUGUUUUUAUCGUAGCCUGUGCGUAAUUACGCAUAACUAUGGAUCUUUGAUUAUCUCGUUAUAGUUCAAUGAGAAAAGUGGAUGUCUUUGUGUUGUUGUGGUUUACUUAAAACUGGUGUACCACAACAAAACUUUCAAAUAUAUUCAACCCAUUUUACUCGAGCAAUAUCUAUGUAAACAAUCUUACGCAAAAAAACCCGAACCCGUUCCUCAAGUUGUACUCAAGUUCAGAAUGUGAGUUCAAUUUUUUCUCAAUUUGUUGAAAAUGUCCUCAAGUCUGUUCGGGGCAAGAAGGUCGAGCAAAACAUUUACCUCAUACAUUUCUGGGUGCAUGUGACCAAUGAUCGGCCUCGAGCCCGCGGCCAAAAUACGCGGAGGGACAUUGGAGGGCCCCGGCCCGAACAGGUAACGCAUUGGAGUCUCGAGCGGCCGCAGCAUGCAGGCCGGCGGCGGGAUGGUGACGGACGACAUGGAGCGCUCCAGGCGCUGCAGGAGCGGCGCGCUCCU